CACACACCGCCCACAGAAACAAUCCAUCGCCACCCACGACUCCCUCACCCGCCACCCACGACUCCCUCACCCUGGCUAGGGUUCCUAGCCCUAUCCUCCGCCGCCGUUGCAUGUUCCCGUCUGAUCUCGCCCAAGCGCUUUGUUGACCUCGCCGGGAGCAGCCAGCUGGAUCACGCCGCCGUGCCUCCCUCUCUCCCUUCUCUUCUUUUCCCCUACCUUCUCUCUCUCCUCUGAACUGCGUGUCGCUCCGGUUAGAGGCCGGGGACACCUCGGCGCACGCCGCCUACCGGGAGACGCCGCUGCUGGACAGGGAUAGCCAGGCAGCCGUGCGCGUGCAAGACGCACAACGUGAAAUGCCCACCCUGCUCGAUUUGGAUCUCAGCGGCGGCGGCGGCGGCUCCUCCCUCUAACCGCGGGUCAGGUCCCUCAACAUGGCGGCGUCGGAGGCGGAAGCGAGGCCGGUGCUGGUGCCGGGCGGCAACAAGGCCCCGGCGGCUGAGCGGAAACCUUCUCCCAAGCCGUUGCGGAAGGCGCCGGAGAAGCCUCCAGCCGCUGACCCGGCCAAAGAGGAUGAGGUGCAGGGCGCGAAGAAGGACGCGGGGGCCGCCACUGCUGUUGGCGACGGCGGCGCUAGGAAGGGGAACUCGUCCCCAUUGCCGCCACCGAGGAAGCUGCAAGAUGCGCCGGCGGUGAACCUCAACGCGUCCUGCUCCUCGGAGGGCUCCGCGGAGUCGCUCCGCGGCCGGGCCCCAGGCGGAAGGACGGAGAGGGGUUGGUCCCGGCCGACCGCGCCCAAGCGUGGGAAGGCUGCGUCUAAGGUGGUGGAGAAGCACGCCGAUGUCGCGGAGGUUGCCGCUCCGGUGACGCCGGAGGCCGUCCGAGGGAGGAGCCGGUGCGCCUGGGUGACUCCGACCACCGUUGGAGAUGCUGCUGCUAUUUGUUCAGAUUGGGGGAGGCUAGAGAGGCUUGCUUGAUGUUGUGUUUGCUACGUCAGAGAGCAGUGAGAACUGAGAUUUGGGUGGGGUGGGGGGUGGAGGUAGCAGGGAGAGGAUGUUUGCUCGAUGGAAGAGUGCAGGGGCACGCCUCCGAGCUAGCCGAUGCAUACUAUAUCCAGUGUUCUGCUGCAUCCGGUGCCACCUCAAAGAACACCUUCUUCUAGCUGGGCAUUGAACGCCUCAAGGACGACGAGGUGCAGCAACUGGGGUGGAAGCAGUUCAACUACAUGAUGAAGAAUUGAGUGAAGGGGUUAAGACGGUUGCGUUGUGCAUGCGCUGCUUGCUUGCCGCGGGACUUGCUUAUGGAGACAUUUGCAGCUACAGAGUAAAUAUGGGAGCUCUAGCAAAGCCUUGGCUUCUCAUCUAUUUCACACUUCAUGCUUAUUGCACUGGAAUAUUUUAUGCUUAUACGAGGUGCUGGCUGAUUAAAUUGCAAAGAAGGGGAAGAGCAAACUUGGAAGAAAGGCAAAAACAGCGCCAAAGUGCAGAAUAAUCGUGGGAGGUUAUCCAACUUCAGCGUGCAUCAGAAAACGGCCAUUGCUAGCUAGCUUGUGUGCUUGCAUCAGUAGAGCACAGAGCGAUGGAUAGGGACGUAUAAGUCAGCUCCCAUGGGAAGAUGUGUGCCAAGAGGAGGCUCGGUCUAUAGUUUUCCCCACUGUCAAAGUGGCUAGACUGUCAUAUAUUCCAGGGCUUCACCUCGCCUACACAGGCACCACAUUGUAAUUGGAUGUUAAAGACUCAAAGGUAAUUCAACCAUUGCUUUGAUAUUCCUAGGUUUCUGCUAUGAAUUAAUAUUAAGAAAAUUUGUCUAUACAUACGUUGAUGCUCCUUGCAAGUCACAUCAACUCAUGUUUUAUUUCUUUCUGGAACGAGCUGCAACACACGGGCAAGAUGAAGAUUAGAGAAGGCAAUUAAGGAGGGAGAGUCAUGUUGAAGUUGAGUUUGUAUGGUUAUAGAUUUUAAUCCUUGUGCGGGUGGUGUUCUUGAAGUUUCAUUUGGUGUUGCUAUCAGCAGGCUUAUACUUUCAUCAUCUUCUACAUCAAGUAUAGUGGUUAAUUGUUUUGGUCAA